GGGAGGCUUGCACAGGUGCUGCAUGGCUGUCGUCAGCUCGUGUCGUGAGAUGUUCGGUUAAGUCCGCUAACGAGCGCAACCCUCGCUGUGUGUUAUAUGUGUCACACGGGACUGCCGGUCUUAAGCCGGAGGAAGGUGGGGAUGAUGUCAAGUCAGCAUGGCCUUUAUAUCCUGGGCUACACACACGCUACAAUGGCCAACACAAUAGGUUGCUAAGCCGCGAGGUGGCGCCAAUCCAUAAAGUUGGUCUCAGUUCAGAUUGUAGGCUGCAACCCGCCUGCAUGAAGAUGGAGUUGCUAGUAACCGCAGGUCAGCUAUACUGCGGUGAAUACGUUCCCGGGGCUU
rnacentral:rRNA from 1 species